rnacentral:rRNA from 1 species
UACAGAGGUCUCAAGCGUUGUUCGGAUUCAUUGGGCGUAAAGGGUGCGUAGGUGGCGCCGUAAGUCAGGUGUGAAAUUUCGGAGCUUAACUCCGAAACUGCAUUUGAUACUGCGGUGCUUGAGGACUGGAGAGGAGACUGGAAUUUACGGUGUAGCAGUGAAAUGCGUAGAGAUCGGAAAGAACACCAAUGGCGAAAGCACUCUGCUGGGCCGACACUGACACUGAGAGACGAAAGCUAGGGGAGCAAAUGGG